rnacentral:rRNA from 1 species
CCUACGGGAGGCAGCAGUAAGGAAUAUUGGACAAUGGACGCAAGUCUGAUCCAGCCAUGCCGCGUGAAGGAUUAAGGCCCUCUGGGUUGUAAACUUCUUUUAUAGGGGACGAAAAAAGGGCUUUCUAGCUCGACUGACGGUACCCUAUGAAUAAGCACCGGCUAACUCCGUGCCAGCAGCCGCGGUAAUACGGAGGGUGCAAGCGUUACCCGGAUUCACUGGGUUUAAAGGGUGCGUAGGCGGGCAGUUAAGUCAGUGGUGAAAUCUCUGGGCUCAACCCGGGAAACUGCCAUUGAUACUAUCUGUCUUGAAUAUUGUGGAGGUGAGCGGAAUAUGUCAUGUAGCGGUGAAAUGCUUAGAUAUGACAUAGAACACCGAUUGCGUAGGCAGCUCGCUACACAUAUAUUGACGCUGAGGCACGAAAGCGUGGGGAUCAAACAGGAUUAGAUACCCUGGUAGUCCACGCCCUAAACUAUGAUUACUCGACAUAUGCGAUACACUGUUNUGUGUNUGNGAGAAGACAUUAAGUAAUACCACCGUAGGAGUACGACCGCGAGUUAGUAACGUUAAAGUAAGUUAGACGGCGUUGAGACGCGCCGACGGACGACGACGGAGGGAGGAGG